rnacentral:rRNA from 1 species
UACCAGCACCUCGAGUGGUCAGGACGAUUAUUGGGCCUAAAGCAUCCGUAGCUGGUUUUGCAAGUCUCCGGUUAAAUCCACCUGCUUAACAGAUGGGCCGCUGGAGAUACUACAAGACUAGGGAGUGGGAGAGGCAGACGGUAUUCGGGGGGUAGGGGUAAAAUCCUCUGAUCCUUUGAGGACCACCAGUGGCGAAGGCGGUCUGCCAGAACACGUUCGACAGUGAGGGAUGAAAGCUGGGGGAGCAAACCGG